AACGAACGCUGGCGGCAUGCCUAACACAUGCAAGUCGAACGAACACUUCGGGGCUAGUGGCGCACGGGUGUGUAACCCGUGGGAACAUGCCCUUUGGUUCGGAAUACCUCCCCGACAGGGGUGCUAAUACCGAAUCAUGUCUUCGGCCGAAAGAUUUAUCGCCUUUGGAUGGGCCCGCGUUGGAUUAGCUAGUUGGUAGGGUAAUAGCCUACCAAGGCGACGAUCCAUAGCUGGUCUGAGAGGAUGAGCAGCCACACUGGGACUGAGACACGGCCCAGACUCCUACGGGAGGCAGCAGUGGGGAAUAUUGGACAAUGGGCGAAAGCCUGAUGCAGCAAGGCCGCGUGAAUGAUGAAGGCCUUAGGGUUGUAAAGCUCUUGUACCCGGGAUGAUAAUGACGGUACCGGGAGAAGAAGCUCCGGCUAACUCCGUG
rnacentral:rRNA from 1 species